UCUUUAUCGAGAGAAGUUGAGGGACUGGCCCUAUGAAACUUCAGCAACCAGCCGAAAGGUAAGGUGCUAAAUCCAGCAGGCAAGAAAUUGUCUGACAGAUGAAAA
rfam:Planococcus sp. PAMC 21323, complete genome.